UUGCUUUCUGUACCACUUGUGACAAGUUUCUUAUCUUUGAUCACUGAUUCUUUCCUUUCAAAUUACUCAAUUACUGUUUAUAUGAUAUUCGAAGGUGAUUUUGAUUCAUCCGAAAGCUUUGUUAGGUUCAUAAGUUGUGUCCUAACUCCUAAUGGAGAUAAGAAGUUCUGAUAAUAAUAAUAGUGGUAAAUUUGUUACCUAUGGGAAAAGGAGUUUCCAUGACAUGUGGAAGCAUUACAAAUGGAAGCUUUUACAAAGUAGAAUUUCGUAUCAAAUACAUUCAAUACAAUAGUGGUCCUUGAUUCAUCAAGAUUAUUAAUUUGCGUAAUUCUCCUGUGAAUUAGCUAUAGUGAUGUCACAAUGAAAAAGUGAUACCUAACUACAUGUUUAUAGAAAGAUAUUGGAUACUCUAGGCACUUGGAAUGACCAAAAAAGUGAAAAACAUAGUCCUGAUGCAUCCAUUCCAAAAUUAUUACAUUAUGCUUUUAUGUCACGUUUAAAAAAUUAGAGCAUUACAAUUACGAAAACUAGAAAUUAGCUUUGCUAGUAAUUGAAAACAGCAAUAUCAUGUUGUAACAAGAGCUUAAAACCAAGCUCGGAAGUCCACUUCAGGUUCAUAUAGAAGAUUACCAUGCUUGACGAAUUUGGCAUAAGAAACUUAAUAGGUUUUGUUAUCAACAAUUGUGACCUCUGUUUAUGAAUUUAUCUCUUCAAUUUCAUAAUAGUAAUUGAAGUUAUAUUACUUUUGACUAUCAAGAAUAGGUGCUCCCACUUGCGCUCAGCAUAUGAAAUAAUUGAAAACAAAACACAUAUUAAAGAGAAUAACAACACAUAACCUUGCAUUUAGAGUUAAAUAAACAAGACAAAACUUGAGUUUGAUUGUUCAUAAAAAUAUAUGGCUUCCCAAUGCAAAAAGGAAAGAGGACUCAAUAUCCAAACAAAACUAAGUAAACUC